GAUGAACGCUGGCGGCGUGCCUAAUACAUGCAAGUCGAGCGAACAGAUGAGGAGCUUGCUCCUCUGACGUUAGCGGCGGACGGGUGAGUAACACGUGGAUAACCUACCUAUAAGACUGGGAUAACUUCGGGAAACCGGAGCUAAUACCGGAUAAUAUAUUGAACCGCAUGGUUCAAUAGUGAAAGACGGUUUUGCUGUCACUUAUAGAUGGAUCCGCGCCGCAUUAGCUAGUUGGUAAGGUAACGGCUUACCAAGGCAACGAUGCGUAGCCGACCUGAGAGGGUGAUCGGCCACACUGGAACUGAGACACGUUCCAGACUCCUACGGGGGGCAGCAGUAGGGAAUCUUCCGCAAUGGGCGAAAGCCUGACGGAGCAACGCCGCGUGAGUGAUGAAGGUCUUCGGAUCGUAAAACUCUGUUAUUAGGGAAGAACAAAUGUGUAAGUAACUAUGCACGUCUUGACGGUACCUAAUCAGAAAGCCACGGCUAACUACGUG
rnacentral:rRNA from 1 species